rnacentral:rRNA from 1 species
UUACGGUUCAAAGCUUUAGCGUCUGAGGAUGGGUCUGCGGCCGAUUAGGUAGUUGCUGGGGUAACGUCCCAACAAGUCGAUAAUCGGUACGGGUUGUGAGAGCAAGAGCCCGGAGAUGGAUUCUGAGACACGAAUCCAGGUCCUACGGGGCGCAGCAGGCGCGAAAACUUUACACUGCGCGAAAGCGCGAUAAGGGGACCUCGAGUGCGUGCGCAAUGCGUACGCUUUUCAUAUGCCUAAAAAGCAUGUGGAAUAAGAGCCGGGCAAGACCGGUGCCAGCCGCCGCGGUAACACCGGCGGCUCAAUUGGUGGCCGCUAUUAUUGGGCUUAAAGGGUCCGUAGCCGGACCAGUUAGUCCCUUGGGAAAUCUUACGGCUUAACCGUAAGGCUGCCAAUGGAUACUGCUGGUCUUGGGACCGGGAGAGGCAAGAGGUACUUCAGGGGUAGGAGUGAAAUCCUGUAAUCCUUGAGGGACCGCCAGUGGCGAAGGCGUCUUGCUAGAACGGGUCCGACGGUGAGGGACGAAAGCUAGGGGCACGAACCGGAUUAGAUACCCGGGUAGUCCUAGCCGUAAACGAUGCGAGCUAGGUGUCACGUGGAUUGCGAAUCCAUGUGGUGCCGUAGGGAAACCGUGAAGCUCGCCGCCUGGGAAGUACGGCCGCAAGGCUGAAACUUAAAGGAAUUGGCGGGGGAGCAC